rnacentral:lncRNA from 1 species
UCACGUGAACUAUAAUACGUCAUAUAAUGAUCUCAUAAUGGCGUCUCUGAAUCGUCAACGAUCUUGUCGUUUCUGCUAUGUCCAUUCGGUUGACCAUUUACCAUGCGCACUAGCUGUUAAAUGAUUUGAACUCUCUGAGUCUGUACGAACAUUUGUUUAUUCGGUAUUCCAAGACGGAAUACGUUUUUAUUAUCGCGACGACAAAUUAUCCUUCGAACAAAAGAUAGAAAUUCCUCUCGAAAAAGUUUACCCGUUAUCAAAUAAAUAUAAAAGUUGAAAGCAUAAUGAG